rnacentral:rRNA from 1 species
GCUCAGGAUGAACGCUAGCUACAGGCUUAACACAUGCAAGUCGAGGGGUAGCAGGGUAGCAAUACCGCUGACGACCGGCGCACGGGUGAGUAACACGUAUCCAACCUUCCCAUAACUCGGGGAUAGCCUUUCGAAAGAAAGAUUAAUACCCGAUAGUACUUAACAAAGGCAUCUUUGAUAAGUUAAAGAUUUAUUGGUUAUGGAUGGGGAUGCGUUCCAUUAGAUAGUUGGUGAGGUAACGGCUCACCAAGUCUUCGAUGGAUAGGGGUUCUGAGAGGAAGGUCCCCCACAUUGGUACUGAGACACGGACCAAACUCCUACGGGAGGCAGCAGUGAGGAAUAUUGGUCAAUGGGCGAGAGCCUGAACCAGCCAAGUAGCGU